UACGAAGGGUGCAAGCGUUACUCGGAAUUACUGGGCGUAAAGCGUGCGUAGGUGGUUUGUUAAGCCUGAUGUGAAAGCCCUGGGCUCAACCUGGGAACUGCAUUGGAUACUGGCUUACUAGAGUGCGGUAGAGGGGUGUGGAAUUCCCGGUGUAGCAGUGAAAUGCGUAGAUAUCGGGAGGUACAUCUGUGGCGAAGGCGACACCCUGGACCAGCACUGACACUGAGGCACGAAAGCGUGGGGAGCAGACAGG
rnacentral:rRNA from 1 species